rnacentral:rRNA from 1 species
GUAAAGAAAAAAAAAAAAGAACAAGGUUUCCGUAGGUGAACCUGCGGAAGGAUCAUUACAAGAAUCGAGGCUGACGGUGCCUACUCUGUAGGCUCCGUCCAGUCCCGCUCUCUACCUUGCCUACUGCACCGUUUGUUGCUUCCUGGCGGCGGCGUCCCGUCGCCAGGGCCUUUUGAAAGCCAAGUAUAAGCAUUGAAACUUCUGACAUACACUAAAUCGUACAACUUUCAACAAUGGAUCUCUUGGUUCUGGCAUCGAUGAAGAACGCAGCGAAAUGCGAUAAGUAGUGUGAAUUGCAGAAUUCAGUGAAUCAUCGAAUCUUUGAACGCACAUUGCGCCCCUUGGUAUUCCAUGGGGCAUGCCUGUUCGAGCGUCAUCUAAACCCUCAAGCCCCAUGGCUUGGUGUUGGGUGUCUGUCCCUGCUCCCCGCGCGGACUCGCCCCAAAUGCAUUGGCAGCGGCCUCCAUGCUUCUCGCGCAGCACAUUGCGCAGCGGAGCACGGCUAGGCGCGCGUCCAGCAAGCAACCCCCCAAGUUGACCUCGGAUCAGGUAGGAUCCAAAUU